rnacentral:rRNA from 1 species
CGUAUGGUUCUAUUUUGUUGGUUUCUAGGACCAUCGUAAUGAUUAAUAGGGACGGUCGGGGGCAUCAGUAUUCAGUUGUCAGAGGUGAAAUUCUUGGAUUAACUGAAGACUAACUACUGCGAAAGCAUUUGCCAAGGACGUUUUCAUUAAUCAAGAACGAAAGUUAGGGGAUCGAAGAUGAUCAGAUACCGUCGUAGUCUUAACCAUAAACUAUGCCGACUAGGGAUCGGGUGGCGCUACUUUGCCCACUCGGCAUCUUACGAGAAAUCAAAGUUUUUGGGUUCUGGGGGGAGUAUGGUUGCAAGGCUGAAACUUAAAGGAAUUGACGGAAGGGCACCACCAGGAGUGGAGCCUGCGGCUUAAUUUGACUCAACACGGGGAAACUCACCAGGUCCAGACACAAUAAGGAUUGACAGAUUGAGAGCUCUUUCUUGAUUUUGUGGGUGGUGGUGCAUGGCCGUUCUUAGUUGGUGGAGUGAUUUGUCUGCUUAAUUGCGAUAACGAACGAGACCUUAACCUACUAAAUAGUGGUGCUAGCAUUUGCUGGUUGUCCACUUCUUAGAGGGACUAUCGGUUUCAAGCCGAUGGAAGUUUGAGGCAAUAACAGGUCUGUGAUGCCCUUAGACGUUCUGGGCCGCACGCGCGCUACACUGACGGAGCCAGCGAGUCUAACCUUGGCCGAGAGGUCUUGGUAAUCUUGUGAAACUCCGUCGUGC